CCCCCCCCAAGGUAGGAUCACCACAUUCACCGUUUGUAAAUAUCUGGUUUUAGGGUUGAAGUCAUUGAUACAAUCCUAUCUUCAUUCGCAUAGGUUUAUUGGAGAAAUCUAAGAUAGGAUAUUGGAAUUGAGAGAUCACCUUCCAAUCCAUCUUCUUUCCUGUUGGUUGAUGGAACCCUUUUCUGCCAUUUCUGGAAGAUGCCCAUCAGUUCCAUUUGAGGACUUCCUCCAUGAGGGAAGUCACUAGGAAGAGAUUCUCUAGCCCUUUUCAUUGUGAAAGUGUUUGAAUUAUGGGUUCUUUCUCAUAUUGAUCUGAAGUUGCUCCCUAACAGCCACCUCUCCCAAAGCAGCGAAGCAAGUUUUGAAGAAGCUUUGUGUGCCUCUUUUUAGCAAUAGAUGAGCGUGUGCACUUCAAACGACUUCUUGAGUGUCUCUUUACAAGUCAAAGGCUCAUCAUCUUUAUUUCAGAUCAGUAACAAGGCACGUGUCUGGAAUGUGUAUAUGGUUUCGGUAUAAACAGUCCCCAAACUCAUGUAUCAACCUGACAAAGUCUAGACUCAAGAGUUUGUUUCAAGAAGAAAAACAAGCCAGCCAUGAUAGAAAGAAUCACCAGCCUAUAAAUUGUGCUGAGGUGUGUUUAUAUAACUAGAUUCGAGUUUAAAUAAAGCAAUUGAAGAGUAAACUAAACUACCAGUCAUAGCUGUAAAAGCAACAUCAGGCAGAGUCAGCUGAAAGGACAGGUUACAUUUGCCUUGAUCAUGAACAUGAGCCAACACAGAUUUCCAAGCAGAUGGCCAGCACAUCAGGACAUCGCUUCCAGGGGGUCCAGGACCAGUGUGAGCACCUGUGAUGUCUAUGUGGAUGGAGAGUGCCUGGAAUUGGCAGGUUUGCACAAGGACACCCCCUCCCCUGCCCUGGCUCUUCUAGCCUCAGUGUGGGGGCGCUGGUCACAGGGUGGGGAGAAAGCUUUUCCUCCAAAGACACUUGACCAUUUUGGUCAGAGUGGGGCGAAAAGCCUGGUGAGCAGAGGUUGGUGGCCGAGGGAGACAGGGUACAAGGUCCAUGGAAAAAAUGGAAACGAGAGGGUCAGGAACUCCCAGGAGGGGGAAGAGACCAUAGAACAUUCUUCACUACAGUGGAAGGGCUGGACAAAUGGCACAACACUUGCCAACCAUCUGACCUUUAAGAGUCCUGUUUCUUGCCCUAUGGGUUCAUGA
ensembl:lncRNA